GCUGGUGGGAGGAGGGGUCUCCGGCAAGUCAGGAGUGAGCAGGUUCAUCGGGAAAGCACCACCUGGGAUGCAGCAGGCGAAGGGGAGAGCAGCCCCCGUUGGAAAUGAAGGGACCCAGGCGGCAGCGCUGGGGCUCAGCAGUGCCAGAGGGCUCAAGACAGAGCCCUGCAUAGCCCCGGACUGCCCCCACAUCGCCCAGCAUUGGCAAUACUGACGCGUCUCACUCGAUGCCUGAACACCAUACACAAAUAGCACCGCAUCAUUCUUGGUUCGUUUCAAGAGUGGCUAACCCAACACCACAUGCUGUUGCCUGAAGUCUCAGGAGCUAUAGCCAAAGUUUCAGGAACCACUCAUUAUCCACACAGUGAGAAUCAGUCAUCCCACUAAACUGGACAUAAUCAUAAGUAACCUUCAGACUUUGAAAAAUUACAAAUUACAAGACAGACAUGAAUACCUAACUGACGAGGAUAACCAGCUGUCGAAGUGAGAAUUCAGUGUCCUCAUUACUGCUAUUUCUCCUACUUGUCAUCAUCUAUAACAAAACUGGAAACAAAUCAGGACAAUCAUGCUGUGACUUGGGACACUGCUGCUUCCAAGGACCAGCACACCAUUAAGGAGCUCUCCUACAUGCCAGCCAAUUAAUGCAACGUUACUCUUCAGGAAAAAAAAAAAGCAAGCAUGAACUUCAGGAGACGAAAUGAAGAAGCCAAGCCAUACUAAUGGGUUUGAUGACUCACCAGAUCAUUAACAUUGGAUUUUAGAGACACACGGAAACUUCUUAUUAAGCAUACACACACAUAUCUGAAGGGCAAGAGCCUAGCUUCUAGAAAAGUGGAUGGUAUCAGGUUAACCACUGAUCAGGCAAAGCCUCUCAUUUGUCUGUGGCAAAAUGUGUUCUGCGCCCCUGCCUGGAUUUGCAGACAUAUAAGCACGACACUGCAUGUCAGCAGCUUGUAGAAAUUGGCCAUAUUCACCACUGUUAAGCUGUAAAUUGUCUGCAAUGAUGGGGAAGUUUCAAACAAAUCACCAUAGCUCCAAGUUGGUGAAAACACAGCAAAUUUGAACUCAAAGAUGUCACCAGCCAUCAUGAAUCUAGUUUGAUCCACCAAUGCAAGGAGGUAUGGCCAUGUCUACAAGUCCUCACCUGCAACUGCUGACAAGAGAGAUGAUGCUCAGAAAGGAACUGGUGGGGGAUCAAAGCAUUUUGGCUAGCCCAGAUAUUUCAGCCCCAGAUAUUUUAUAAUAAUCAACCCGAGACUUUGGCUUUCCCCCGUUUCAUUUAUUCCCUCCCACACAACAGACUCACUUUCUGAAAAACCUUACCUCCUCAUUUGCUAUUUCUUUGCAGUCUUCCACCACCUGCUAACCAUGCCUUUUUAAGGCCAAAGCAUACGUCAUAAGGAAUAUUAGUUCACAUGUAUAACUUGCUUGACUGUUACCAUUGGCCUUACUGUGAUUGGUCCUAUAAUCACUGCCAGGUUUUGACAUAGAGAAGCCAACUCCAUUUACUUUGACCCUCCCGAUUUAUCAGCUCACUUCUCUUCUGCCUGCACUGGGACAAUGAGGUAAAACAUUGUGCUGUUCUAGGCAGCUAGAACAGCAGAAUGAGCUCAAGCAGAUGGGACGGUGACAGGAACAGCAGCAGAAAUGGGGCCACAGACCGAUCUUGCUUGUUUGCAUGAAGCUUUAACUACCCAACUCGGGAUUACUGGAAGGCACAGUUCACUCGUUCUCUUCUGAUGUGUGCGAAGAAGAAUGAAUGUAAUCAAACGUCUAAGAAAUGGAAAUUAAUCUACAAGCUAUUACUCCUGCAAGAAGCUGACAACUGUAUAUGCACUACAUGACUCUUCAGCUUAUCAGAAUCAGGAUUCAGCCAAGAGAGAACUUCAGACUCAAGAUUCCUCAUUAUGAUUUUUAGGCUUGUUCUUUUCUCUUCAUUCUCCCCCUUCCCUCCCACACACAUUAUCCAUCCCUGCCUUCUGUACUACACACAUGCAUGUACUAGGACAGGAUUGAUGAGAACAGAGAAAAGAAGGUCCCUUCAACAGAGCCAGGUCUCCUUGACCCCAGCAUCACCAGCCUACAAAUGUGUGUUGUAAUUUAUGUUUCGGGAGUGAUGGACAGUUACACCUAGUAAGUGUAUUUACAAAUUAAAUAAUAUUCAUAAUCA